GACCACUAUCACCAUGGGAGGAGGUAAAAUUAUUUGUUGCACUCUCGUCGAUCGGUAUCUAUACAUGUUCUCUAUACACAAAAUUUCCAUUUUUCUCUUCAGUGAACUCUUCAACAGAACAUCCGACAACAGUAAGCAAUCCACACGCACACGACAAAAUUAAAAUGAAAUAAAAGAGGAAGGGAAAAAUCGAAUAAAUCAAUCGGUUCUAUUUUUAUGCAAAUCGAUGGAACUAGGCUGGCGAGUUUUAAUUAAUUAAUUAAUGUUGUUGCUGCAGAGGCUCGUAGUAGCCGUAGACGCUGUAGAAGGUCUGCGUGAAGGUGAGGAGCAGGAGGACGACGGCGGCGACGAGGGAGAUGAUGGCCCAGGGGUUGCCGAAGUAGUUGUGCUUCAAGGUGGCGGUCCAGGU
rnacentral:lncRNA from 1 species